rnacentral:tRNA from 1 species
CGGGGUGUAGCGCAGUCCGGUAGCGCGCUUGCAUGGGGUGCAAGAGGUCGCUGGUUCGAAUCCAGUCUCCCCGACCA